GCAGUUUAGUGGUUAAAAUAAAGUAAAUGGUAUAACUGUAAUGUUAACCCUUUUCAUAUUUAUAUUGAACUUCAAUGUAUGUGGGUUAACAUCACUCAGGCAUGCAAGCAGGGUGCGUGCAUGCGCGUAUGUGCACGUGCACAUUGAUGCAUAUAGGUCUUAUACAUGCACACAUAUAUUUUGAAAUAUAAAAAUGUAAACGAGGAUCAGAUAUAGAGUUUUUAACAAACGUGCGUGUUCAUAGGCGCCAAAUUCUUUCUCCGCCAGUGGCAGCGUCAUGCUUACUUAGCAACGAAAGAAGCUCUGAAGCGCCCACGCGCUUUGAAGAGGAGAAAAGCGGCGCGGUCACGUUUUCCGCGUGGUUUCAGACGCGACAUGUAAUGUAAAUGUAAAGCAACUGUGCGUAUGUGUUGGCCGUUUCGGUGGCUGCUCGAGCCGAGCCCCGGAGGACCCAGGGGAUCAGGGCAUAUCUGCGUGUUUCUUUGUAGCACUUCCACUCAUAAAACAACAAGUGAGAAACCUUUUUGGGGUUAUAAUGUUUCCGCGCUGAAAACGCGUUCUGAUGAUGUACUGGUAGCGCAGAUUGAUACUUUUUCGCAACUUUGAAUGACUAAGAGGGAACGUCCGUUUCUCAACCGAAGGCUGCAACCUCCGGAGGUCGCAUAUGCAGGCUGUGUUGGCAACAGCAACAGACGUUGAAAAAAACACUACAGCUUCCUGACUCUAAUUGUCUUAGGUGAAUGGCUCACAGCAAGCGUUUGGAUGCUGAGCAUCGGAUGGUUGUGCCUCCACAUCCCAACUUCGUGGCUGGAAUGGCAGCUUUGUUUUCUAGCUACUACAACUUUAAUCUGGUGUACCAGGAGCAAGCAUCUUGCACACUGGAGUUUAUUCAAAGAUGCUUCAUUGGACUGAACCCCUCCAGUGGGACCAAGACAGCAAAGGUGGUUAGCCAAAAAAGCGGGAAGGUACAGGAGAAAAAAAACAAGUGCAUUAACCCUCACGUCUCCUUUCUACUCAAGCGGCUGAUAGAUUUUGAAUGGCUUCAAUUGUAAGUCUCAAGCGACUUCCUCACAAUAUGAAUGGACAUGGUUCUAAAUGUUUUCUGAAUUUCAAUGAAUGUUAAGAAAAUAAAUAGAAUAUUCUGUUAAAAAAAGACCUUCUGAAAAUGUACAGUAUUGUAACACUGUAUUUCGUUUUAAUAAUAAAAUUUCAUGAUUUUGUAUCUUGGACUAUGGUUUUAUUUAACAGUUAAAGAGAAUCUUAUCCAAUGAUGUUUGGAUUGAAAGCAGGCCUGGUCUUAUU